rnacentral:misc_RNA from 1 species
GAUGAAGAACGUAGCGAAAUGCGAUAAGUAAUGUGAAUUGCAGAAUUCAGUGAAUCAUCGAAUCUUUGAACGCACAUUGCGCCCGCCAGUAUUCUGGCAGGCAUGCCUGUUCGAGCGUCAUUUCAACCAUCAAGCCCCCGGCUUGUGUUGGGGACCUGCGGCUGCCGCAGGCCCUGAAAAGCAGUGGCGGGCUCGCUGUCACACCGAGCGUAGUAGCAUACAUCUCGCUCUGGGCGUGCUGCGGGUUCCGGCCGUUAAACCACCUUCAUAACCCAAGGUUGACCUCGGAUCAGGUAGGAAGACCCGCUGAACUUAAGCAUAUCAAUAAGCGGAGGA